UACGAAUGGGGCUAGCGUUGUUCGGAAUUACUGGGCGUAAAGCGCGCGCAGGCGGUCUUCCAAGUCAGUGGUGAAAGCCUGGAGCUCAACUCCAGAACUGCCAUUGAAACUGUUAGACUUGAGUACGAGAGAGGUGAGUGGAAUUCCCAGUGUAGAGGUGAAAUUCGUAGAUAUUGGGAAGAACACCAGUGGCGAAGGCGGCUCACUGGCUCGUAACUGACGCUCAGGCGCGACAGCGUGGGGAUCAAACAGG
rnacentral:rRNA from 1 species